UAAGGAAUAUUGGGCAAUGGACGCAAGUCUGACCCAGCCAUGCCGCGUGAAGGAUGACGGCCCUAUGGGUUGUAAACUUCUUUUGUACGGGAAUAAACCUUCGGUCGUGACCGGAGCUGAAUGUACCGUAAGAAUAAGGAUCGGCUAACUCCGUGCCAGCAGCCGCGGUAAUACGGAGGAUCCAAGCGUUAUCCGGAUUCAUUGGGUUUAAAGGGUGCGUAGGCGGAUUUGUAAGUCAGUGGUGAAAUCCUGCAGCUUAACUGUAGAACUGCCAUUGAUACUGCAAGUCUUGAGUACAUUUGAUGUGGGCGGAAUGUGUCAUGUAGCGGUGAAAUGCUUAGAUAUGACACAGAACACCGAUUGCGAAGGCAGCUCACAAAACUGUAACUGACGCUGAGGC
rnacentral:rRNA from 1 species